AAAGCCGCUUGAAUUUUCUUACACAGUAAGUCUUGACAUCCGUUUUAUUUCUUCUAAAAAUAUUUUUCCCUUUAAUUAUAUUAUAAAUAAUUAAUAAUUUUAAAAAUAUUAAAUUAUUAUACAAUUUAAUGCUCAUUAUCGUAAAUUAAUGCUGCUUAAAUUCCUUUCCUCAACUAAAUAAUUUUUUUUUUUAUUCUCAAAUACCCACAUCAAUUUUCCUCCCUCAAAUUUCAUUUAAAAGAAAUCUGUAACGUCCAUUUCAGGACUCUUCGGAUUUCUUUCCUCCAAAUCAUUUAUUUCUUUUCACAGUCGAACUUGAUGGCGUUGCUUCAUCGUUGAUGUCACUGUCGAACGUUUCUUCUUCUUCACAUCCGAACAUUUCUUUCUCUUCACAGUCAAACGGUUUCUUCAGCAUUCUUUCAUCGGAGUGUUUCUUUUCUCCAAAACAUUUUCACUGUGAAGCAGUUAUACAUGCCAGUGUUCUCAUGGCGUUGUUGUACGGCAUGAUCCAGUACUCGCUUGUGGUCUAUGAGCUCUGCCUCUUCUACAUCGUUGCUUAUUUGGGUAUUUAUAUUUAUUUUUUUCUUUUGGCUUCUAGAUCAAAGUUGGUAUCUUUCAUACCUUUUCUAACGAUGGAAACAACACUCGCUCGUGGCCAACGAACUCGGCCUCUUCUACACCGUCACUUAUUUGGGUAUUAACUUUCUGGCAUUGCUUGGGCUCAUCUUUGCUCUGCAUCAUUUGUUAUCAAUAUGCUUCUUCGUGAGAUCCUCUUGGUGCUCGAUGAUAUUCCCCAAAGUUUUUUUUGUUUUAUAAUGUAGCUUGAAAUAACUCAAUAAGUUAAUUGGUGAUUUGCUUUUGGUAGUUUUUGUUUGAAUUAGCCUCAAGUUAUAAUUUCAUCAAAUUGGAUUUAGUCUUUGAAUAAGUCAAAUUGUGUUUAGAUGAGGGAUGAGCAAAUGAGAAACAAUCUUGUUCUCUGUUUACAUAUGAUGUGAGUUAUGUUGCAUUGUUUCUAUUGAUUAUGCUCAUAAAGCUCUAAUCUAUGAUGCACUGACACUCUGUUUUAAGGGGGUAUGCAGUGUCGGACAUGGACACGCGUCCGACAGGUGGGGAUACGUGUCAGACACGUCAUUGGUUUAUUCAUUUUUUUUAAAAUAAUAACCGGACACAUGUGAUCGGUUUAUUGUGAUCGGUUUAUUUUUUGUUUAAAUUAAAAAAAAAAAACACCACUGCUUCAUAUAACCCUUCAUGCUCGACCGACGGCCUUUACCCUAAUCUCGUAACCUGUAUUUGCGGUCUUCCGGAGCGAGUGAGGCGAGCAAUGGAUGGAGCGAUUUCCCGCGAGCAAGGAGUCUUCCCUUCCGGCCGUAAGCAACGGAUCUUCCUCCUGUAAGCAACGAGUGCUACGUUUUUGCGUGCAGCGACUGCGAAGCUGACGCCAAAUUGACUGCGGUAAUAGUAGCAAACCUGUAAGUUUAUUUCACCAUUUUUUCUACCAUUUGUUAUUUAUCUUCAUUUAUUAAUGAUUCCAUGGAUUUGUUCUUUUUUUACCUAAAUCAAACACUAGGUUGUAAUUUUCAUUUUUAAAAUCUGUAAAUAUCAUGAGAUUUCUAAAAUCUGUAGAUAUAAAAUCUGUGUUGAGAUGUCUGAAUUGAGAGAUAGAUUUCAUUUCAAUAGUUUUAGUAGAUUAGUAGUUUUAUUCUUCAUUUUGUAAGGGGCUUAGUUUUCAUGUUUCUUCUAAAUAAUACAUGCUUAUUGCUUUUGAGGUUGUGUGAUGUAUUACAGUGGUUGUGUGAUGCCACUUAAAGAGGUUAUUUUGGAAGUCUAUAGGUUGCCUUGGCGGUGGGUGGUUUAACUUGGUAUUUGAUUUCAUGUUGGUUGGUUUCUUGUAAAGUAGCAAAAGUAGCCUAUGUUGUCACCCAUAUAUGAAAUUCCACUAGUGUAGGGAAAAUAAGUGAAACCUAAGUCAAAUACAAAGGCUAAUGAAAUCAUAUAUGCUGGAUGUCAUUGGAUAACAGUGGUCGUAGAUGAUGCUGUUACGAUCAGAAAUUUUAUUAUGAAUCAUUUGAUGAUACUUUCAAUAUUUAAUGAUUUCUCCCACUUGAGAAUAUUAGCUGUUGCUGAAACUCGUUUUACCUCUGUAAUAAUCAUGUUGAGAAGAUUCAAAUAAAUUAAAAAUGCUCUUCAAUCUAUGAUGAUUAGUGAGAAGUGGUCUUGCUAUCGAGAAGAUGAUGUUGGGAAGACAAUGUAUGUUAAAGAAAAUGACUUAGAAGAUUUAUGGUGGGAUAAUGUAGAUUACAUUUUAGAUGUGGGACUCUAUGUUAGCAAAGUGAAAGAAAUUGUAUACAGACAUGAAAGAAAGUCACAUGAAGAAGACUCAAGUUUUUGGAGCGUUGUCUAUAUCAUUCUUGAGGAUAGGUGGAGCAAAAACAACACACCUCUGUAUUGUUUGGCUCAUUCAUUAAAUCAAAGGUACAUUUGUAUAAAUCUUUUAAAUUAAUUUAAAUUUCUUGAUAAAUGAACACAUAAUUUUAUAUGCUUUGUAUUAUUUGAAGGUAUUCAAGUAAAGAAUGGUUUCAAGAAGACCCUCAACGUGUCUCACCACAAAAAGAUUUAAAAGUUUCAAAUAUGAGAAAUAUAUGCUUGAAACGAUAUUUCCCAAAUGAUGAGGAGAGAAGAAAAAUUAAUAUAGAACUUGCAAAGUUCUUUGGAUAUUUAGAGGAUUUUGGUGAUCAAGAAUCUUUGGUUGAUAGAUGGAGGAUGGAUCCAAAAAUGUGGCGGUUGAUUCAUGGAGCUUCAGCACCGCUUUUUCAAAUCAUAGCAAUAAAACUUCUUGGUCAAGUAUCAUCUUUUUCCUUUGUGAGAGAAAUUGGAACACAUACUCAUUUAUUACAUCAAUGAAGAGGAAUAAAAUAAUUUCACAAUGGGCUGAAGAUGUAGUUUAUGUGCAUAUAAAUAUUCGUCUUCUAUUAAGGAAAACCCCACUUUAUAUGACAGAUGAUAACAAGAUGUGGAUGUUGCUGGAGAUGAGUUCGAGUGCCUUGAUGAUAUGAGAUUAUUGGAGGUUGCAAAUCUUUCUUUAGAUGAACCAGAGUUGGAAGCAAUGAUAUUCAAUGAUGAUGAUAUUGAAGGUCAAAGACUAACCUCUGAAUCUAAUUCUAUUAUUCCCUCAAUUGAGUAGUUUAACCUUCAUGUUUUACUAAAUAGUUUUUGCUUACAUUUUUGUGGUUGUAUUAAAUAUUUUGUAUUAAACAUCUUUAUGCUAUAAGCUAAAUAAGUUAUUAUGACUUUGAUUUAUUAUUUCUUGCCAUUUUUAAUAUAAUGUUACCUUAAUUUCUUUAUAUUAUAUUAAAAAAUUAUUAUGCCGUGUCCACGCCGCACCUGUGUCCUAUAUUUUUAAAAAAUAUCGUAUCCCUUGUCGUGUCAUGUUCGUGUCGCCGUGUCUGUGUUGGUGCAUCAUAGGCUCUAAUUCUAUGUUCAUUAUGUAGUCUGGGUUGAUUUACACAGAAGAUAUAAACUUCAUAAGAGGCUCGCCUUCGUGCGAACCCAACAGCGAUGCCACUUCUUGCGCAUAUAGCAGCCAUGUUCUGUCAUUGCUCCCUCUCGCGUGAACUCGCAGCCGAUCUCAGGAAAGGUCUGUAGUUGUACCUCUUUACUUCCUCAUUUGUAAUCGAGUAGCAAUUAGAUUUCGUCUGAGAGCUACUCCUUUCAAACUAUGGUUCAUCUGUAUAUCGACAUCUGUUAUUGGUUCUUAUUUACCACUUGGAAAUUGCUUCCCCUUUUUCUGUUGAAUAAAUCAUAUUGAUUUUUUAAACUUGAUGAUUAUUAUUUUUAUAGUUUAUAGCAUAUGCAGAAUGUUUUUUAGGUUAAAAAAAAUCUUAAGUAGCUUCUUCUUUUUAAAAAUUUUUAAUGGGGUAUUUUACAUUCAAUUUCUUUUUCUUCUUGAAAUUUCUUGGGAGAAGCUUUGCUGCUAUUUUGUUAGUUUUUUUUUUUGGUGAUGGUGGAUGAAUAUUGGUGCAUUGAGGUUUGCAAAGUUUGUUUUUAGACCAUCUUCAAAAAAAAGAAAAAAAAAAAAAACUUAUUUUUCACUUCAAAAUAUA